UACGUAGGGUGCGAGCGUUGUCCGGAAUUAUUGGGCGUAAAGAGCUUGUAGGCGGUUUGUCGCGUCUGCUGUGAAAAUCCGGGGCUCAACCCCGGACUUGCAGUGGGUACGGGCAGACUAGAGUGUGGUAGGGGAGACUGGAAUUCCGGGUGGAGCGGUGAAAUGCGUAGAGAUCCGGAGGAACACCGACGGCGUAGGCAGCGCCCUGGACGACACCUGACGCUGAGGCACGAAAGCUGGGGGAGCAAACAGG
rnacentral:rRNA from 1 species